ACGGAGGGAGCUAGCGUUGUUCGGAAUUACUGGGCGUAAAGAGCAUGUAGGCGGCUAUGUAAGUCAGAGGUGAAAGCCCGGAGCUCAACUCCAGAACUGCAUUUGAGACUGCAUUGCUAGAAUAUAGGAGAGGUGGAUGGAAUUCCGGGUGUAGAGGUGAAAUUCGUAGAUAUUCGGAGGAACACCAGUUGCGAAGGCGACACACUGGACUAGUAUUGACGCUGAGAUGCGAAAGCGUGGGGAGCAAACAG
rnacentral:rRNA from 1 species